GGCAGACAUCACCUUCCUACAGAGCAGAACAGGACAGGAAGAAAAGCUCAACUGAAAGUUUUGUCUGGCCAGACUGGACCCAAAUACAGGACUGAAGACAGGCAGGCAUGCAGUGGAUCUUGAUGUUCUAGAAAACUAGAGGACAGAGGAAAAUCAGACUUACAUUGGAGAUGCUGCUGUCCUAGAAAUCACAGAAAUAAAAGCCACUGAGGUAAAAAACCACCACGGCUGUGUCCUCUUCAUUCUGCACCCUGAUCCCAUAUUCACUGCUGGUGCAGCAUUGAACUGCAGGUUUCUGCCAUGCAGCUGCUUCCCUCUGUGUGGACUUUCAUUUCACCUGUCACAUGUCUCAAUCAUGGACUAAUCUUUUUUAUUUUUUUAUUUUUUACCUUAAAAUACAUUAUAAUCUAAAAAAUAACCUGCUAAUCCCUUUUCAAACCAGUAUAUCCAAGGAGUUUACUCUCUUACCUGGAUCUGAUCAAUAUAUUUUUACUAUAAAGUCAGUUUAUGUUUAAGUUACUGGCCAAAUGCUUGUUGCUUUUAUGGGCAUUGUAAUGGAGCUUUCUACUUAUGUUGAUGUAUGAAAAAAUAUGGGUAGAUUAAGGCUAUAAUAUUUUAUUAAAAUAGCACAAAACUAUGAAUCUAGCAAGUAAAUUUAACUGUGGAAACAACUUUGUACUCCUGUAGAUAUGUUGAACUUGAUAUACAAAUGCUAAUAGAUUAUCAUUGUUGAUUGUUUUGUCACAGCUUUAGAAACAAGAUUCAUCGUCAGACUCUCUGUAAGGACAAAACGCUCUCAAUCCUCAUAGACAUACAAAGUUUUAGUAAGAACUUUUCUGCCACAGUUUAAAAUCAUGACUGUAAACACAUUUUAUAUAUAUCAGCGAUACAGAAAUAGGAAGGUUCUGGCUGGAAACUUAGUGUGAGGAAAAAAAAAUGGGAUUAAUGCCAACUAAAUUUUUAAGAUAUAAAAAAAAAUGCAAUUAAGGGCACGGCAGUGGCGCAGAGGUACAGAGGCCUCAGUCCUCUAGUCAGUCACAGGUUCGAGUCCCAGUCCGUUGACAUUCUCCCUCCAUGUCUUCUCCCUCUCUCAUUACCAACUUUCAUGUACAUUUUUUGUCUCAAAAUUCCUUAAAAACAAUAAUAAUAUAUAUUUGACAUUUCUGACAUUACAUCUGGUCAUAUUUCUAUCACUUUCCACCCUAAUUUUUCACAUGAUUGUGAUUCAGACUCAUGUGCUGAUUUACUUUUAGAAAAGAUUCUUUACUCAGUCAACUCCUGGCAAAGAACCUCAUCAACAACAAGCCUACUUUAAAGGCACGAAUAAAAAAAACAAAACAUUCAAAGGUCCAAUGUCCACGUGGCAGCUACUUAAAGAGUAACUAUACCACACAUCCACUUUUUUCACAGAUGAUAAGCUGUAUAAAUCAAUCAUGUUUUUUGUUGUUUUUGUUUUUUCCAAUUUGAAAUCUGGGCCCGGGGAGGAAUCGGUCUCGUCUCUGCUCUGGCUGCAGGCAGUUUGCAGCAGGAUGAUCACUUGCCCUUCCUGUCCCCGAUCCUGACCUACUCCUCUGGAUUUGGACCUCCUGGCUUUUGACCCUCCAUCUGUCUGACCCUGAGAUCUGGAACCGCCUGACCUGGAUUUGGAUCCCCUGGCUCUGACCCUGACCUGUCUGACUGUGAAAAAGCCGACCCCUUAAUAAACACCUGUUCUGUAUUCACAGGUCAGUCCCUGCGUCCAUCAGUGCCUGGAUCGUGUCAACAAGUCCGAGAUUGUAUUUUUUUUAAAAAUUGAUCGCCAUUAAUUUUGUUGUCAAAAUGGCCUGCAAACUGUUCUUUUUAAAUCUUUUAAUAUUACAGUCCAAAAUCCAUGGAUCUUGUACUUUAUUCUGAGUGUUUAGACACUUUCACCAUCUC